CAAUAGCGUAUAUUAAAGUUGUUGCGGUUAAAAAGCUCGUAGUUGGAUUUCGGCGGACAGGGGGCGGUUCGAUAUUUGUCGCUACUGCCCCAUUUGUCCGUGUUUUUGGCGGAGGUUUCAGGGUGCUCUUCACCGAGUGUCCUUGGAUGCCGUCAGGUUUACUUUGAAAAAAUUAGAGUGCUCAAAGCAGGCUUUACACGCUUGAAUAUUCGUGCAUGGAAUAAUGGAAUAGGACGUCGUUUCUAUUUUGUUGGUUUUCGGAAAUCGACGUAAUGAUUAACAGGGACAGUCGGGGGCAUUAGUAUUCAGACGACAGAGGUGAAAUUCUUGGACCGUCUGAAGACUAACUACUGCGAAAGCAUUUGCCAAGAAUGUUUUCAUUAA
rnacentral:rRNA from 1 species